rnacentral:rRNA from 2 species
UACGGAGGAUCCAAGCGUUAUCCGGAUUUAUUGGGUUUAAAGGGUGCGUAGGCGGAAGAUUAAGUCAGUGGUGAAAGUUUGCAGCUCAACUGUAAAAUUGCCAUUGAAACUGAUUUUCUUGAGUGUAAAUGAGGUAGGCGGAAUGUGUUGUGUAGCGGUGAAAUGCUUAGAUAUAACACAGAACACCAAUUGCGAAGGCAGCUUACUGGGAUACAACUGACGCUGAGGCACGAAAGCGUGGGGAUCAAACAGG